GGGAUUUGAGGAGAGCAGUGAGAAGAUCAAAAUCAACACCGAUGCUCGCACUCGCAAGGUUAUUCCUUCUCUUCUAUCUUUUUGAAAGAUAGUUUCCAAUAUACAAUGGAAGGUUUCCAUUCUUAGAUUAAUAUUCUUUUUUCCUUUCUACUUUGGCAUUUGAUAAGACUUAAGUAUGAGAUUAUAACUUUACUAUCUUUUUUCCUUGGGUGCAUCAAUGAACUUUUUGACAUUUGACUGUUUUUGUGUGUGUGGAGUUAACUCUUUGCCAUCCGAGCUUUUCCUUUCAUUGGUGCCUUAGCUGUUGAACUUUGAUCUUUACCACAAAAGUGCAGAUUGAAGAGCUUAAAAAGUGCCCAUUUGCUGAGAGUUGGGUUACUUUGUUCCCUUGGGCUUAUUUAAGAAAAAUAUCUUUAUCUAGAUAUGUUGGUAUUUUACGGAUUCUUGGGAACAAUUCCGGAUCAGUGGAAGAAUAGAUGUUAUUGAUGGGUCAAAUCCUGAUUCCAUGAAACUUCAGCAAAGAGAGAAAUCUUGGUUUGCUAGUUCUAUGAAAUCAAGACUGCAGUACUUGGGUGCUAGCCCAGGUCUUCCCAAUAUAAGUGAGCAACAGACCCAAGAACUCUUCCUAGAUCCUUCUACAGGUCCGGUCGCUUCAUUUUGUCUUCUGGUUCUAGAUCCAGAUCAGGUUGAUUACUUGAAUCUAAAGAGUGAGCAGAGACUAGCAUUUACGUCAACAUUGAAUGUCAGCGGAGAGAAGUUCUGGACUUCAGAGAAGAUCAACUUGUAAAAUAUCUGUUAUUCUUAAUUUGAUGACACGGUUAUGAGUGAGUACUUGGGCUUGAACCUAUAUUUUAUCUUUAUUUCUAAAACUUAUGUUUUCAUCUCAAAAUCCUGUUAGUAUUCUUCAUGAUUGGCCUAGAGAAGUAGCUUUCAGUUAUUUUAUUGGUUUUUUUAAUCAACAAUUAUAGAAUUGGAGGGAAUAUGCUAUAUGUAUGACAGCCAUUUUAACUUUUAAUCAAGAAAGAAAUAGAUCAGUUGGUAAAAUUUCAUCAGUAUUCUAAUGUCACACUAAGCAUUCUUAAGAGGUUUGCAUGCUCUUCUGAGAGGAACCCCUUCAGCGUCAACCUUGGGAUGGAUGUAAAAACCUUUGAGCGUCAAGCCUGUAAAUCCAUGUUGUAGCGUUGCAGAUUCAAGGAGCCCUUCCGUAUAAAGCAUCCUGCCCAAAUGAGUAUCCAUUCCAAUGUUUGAAGGAUGCCAGCAUGAUGAAGGGAAUCUUGUUGGGGAAUAUGAUACAGAAAACUUCCUUCUUUCAUAAGUACGAUUGUGGAAUACUCAUUUGAGCAAGAGGCUUUUCUAUGGAAGGUAAAGAAGGAUAUUCCCUGUUCCUUAGCAAAGAAAAGGACGAGCCUUGUAUAUAUAAUCUCUGUAUUUCAUCUACCAGAGCUUUGUUGUUCUCAGAAGGUGGUUGCACCAGCCUUCUUAUGGAAGCGGGUGGUUGAAUUACAUUCUUUUAUAAGAUAUAUUAGAUAUUGGACUGUUAGUUGGAC